GAUGAAGAACGCAGCGAAAUGCGAUACGUAGUGUGAAUUGCAGAAUUCAGUGAAUCAUCGAAUCUUUGAACGCACAUUGCACCUCUCGGUAUUCCGGGAGGUAUGCCUGUUCGAGCGUCAUUUUCACCAUCAAGCUCUGCUUGUGUUGGGGUCCUGCGGCUGCCCGCAGGCCCUGAAACCCAGUGGCGGGCUCGCUAGUCACACCGAGCGCAGUAGCACAUCUCGCUCAGGGCGUGCGGCGGGUUCUUGCCGUAAAACAACCCCCCCUUUUCACCAAGGUUGACCUCGGAUCAGGUAGGAAUACCCGCUGAACUUAAGCAUAUCAAUAAGCGGAGGA
rnacentral:misc_RNA from 1 species